rnacentral:rRNA from 1 species
AUGGCAUGGCUUUCUUCCUCGCCCAUUACCCGUCUGCAAUGCCGCCGGACUCAGGCGGGGGCUGGCUGGGCCUCAUGUCCUAUGACGACGGAAAGAGGAGGACAGUCUUUGGGGACGACCGGGUUCAUCGCCGUGGAGUUCGACACGUACAACAACGACUUCGACCCCAGCAAGACCUAUGACCACAUCGGCAUCGACAUCAACUCUGUGAUGGACUCGGUGAACACGACCAGCUUGCCCAGCUUCAGCCUCAACGGCUCCAUGACUGCCACCGUCACCUUUGACAACACCACCCGGAUGCUGGUCGCCCAACUGGAGUUUGAUGAUGACAAACGUAAUCUUCGCCCCGUUCAGGUCAGCUGGCGGUUAACCGAUCAGCUCAACACCUUGCUCCCGCCUCAAGUGGCAGUGCGGUUUUCUGCAGCCACGGGCAACGGCGUGGAGCUGCAUCAGAUACGGUCAUGGUCCUUCAACUCCUCACUUGCUCCGCCCCACAAAGGUCAUGACAUGAAGGCAGCACUUAUUGGAGGGUCAAUUGGAGGAGCCGUGGCUUUGGUGGUUGUGGUGUGGUGUGUCCUCUCAUGUUUCAAGUGGAGAAUGAGCAGUACAAGCCAUGACUUUGUGACACGAGCUGGCGGACCCAGACAGUUUGAGUACCGUGAUCUGGCUGCUGCAACAGACAACUUCUCCGGUGAGAGGGUUAUUGGGCGAGGUGCCUUUGGAGUAGUUUACAGAGGAACACUGAUCACUAGGGGGUCAUCAUCAGGUGUGCCCUCUAGAGAUUUAUGUGAAUCGUUGAGUGAGCCGUCAAACUCGAAGGGGUCAGACAGUGAGGUGGCUGUAAAGAAAAUCUUGAAUGAGCCGAGGGGAGGAAAUCUUGACUUCUUCGCCGAGAUGAACACCAUUAGCGCAGCGAAGCACAAGAAUCUCGUCAAACUGAAAGGUUGGUGCUGCCGGGGAAAAAGCCGGAACAUGCUCAGUUUCUUGUGCUGGUGCUGCAGGAAGGAGGAUGAUGAGCUCUUCCUUGUCUAUGAACUAGUGCCCAACGGCAAUCUGCACUACCACCUAUGUGAGAGUGAGCAAUUGAUAGCAUGGACAACAAGGUACCAAAUCAUCAAAGACAUUGGCUCUGCUCUUAUUUACCUCCACCAUGAUUGUGCCCCUUAUAUUCUGCAUAGAGAUAUCAAACCAAGCAACAUACUCCUGGACAGCAACUUCAAUGCCAAGCUUGCUGACUUCGGGCUGUCGAGGAUCGGCAACCAGGACAACGCGACGCUGUUGACAGCUGCUAUAGGGACCGAAGGGUAUAUAGAUCCAGAAUGCAGGAAAAUGGGGAAAGUUAAGUUCUACCCGAGCUCCGACGUCUACAGCUUCGGAAUCGUCCUGCUAGACAUUGUAUGCACAGGGAAGUCCAGGGAGCAAGUCUGGGAGUUGUACAUAAAAGGCAAGGUCGUGGAGGCUGCAGACGGAAGGCUUCAUGGCAGCGACGACUUGGACAAGAGGCAGAUGAAGCGCGUGGCUAUCCUGGGACUGUGGUGUUCUCUUCGUGACAGUUCCAUGAGGCCUACCGUUAGGAAAGCAAUGGAGGUCUUGGAACGCGACGAGCCGUUGCCUGACCUUAACAACUUGGCGAACACUUCGGUACCCUCAGCACAGCAGGACACCUACACCACUAGCUCUGACCAGCAUGCACUUAUGUCAGAUGGCAGCUAG